AACGGCCAUACCAUGCUGAAUAUGCUGGUUCUCGUUAGAUCACCGAAGUCAAGCAUUUGGGCGCGGUCAGUACUUGGGUGGGUGACCACCUGGGAACACCGCGUGCCGUU
rnacentral:rRNA from 1 species